rnacentral:tRNA from 2 species
GUCUCAUUAGCUCAGCUGGUAGAGCAUAUCACUCUUAAUGAUGUGGCCGUAGGUUCGAAUCCUACAUGGGACACCA